AAGCAAUCCUCCAGGAAAUGUUCUUCAUUUCGGGACAUCACUUGAGAACUUGCCCUCUGCUGAAGGUGCUGCCUCACCAUGAGGUUAUACUCCUACCUCAGGGAUCACAAGGUGGCUCCCUGAACAGCUCCUUGCUGCCAUUUUGUGAUGACACCAUCUUUAACACCUGGCUUCUGAAGUCUCAUGGAGAGGUCUCUAUCCAGGGAGUACAUUGGAUACUUUCGCGGUCUCUGUGGACGGGGAGACAGCACACUGGAGACUAACACCAUGUUGGCCUGGACAUGAUGCAUGACCCUUACGCCCAUGUUCCAUUGUCUGUUCCAGGGAAACAGCUGGAUUCAGACUGAACUGGCAGACACUGCACGUGUUCUACAGAGAAGAAAGAGGAUGAUGGUAAAGCAGACUGCAGUCUUCAGGCCUGGAGCAGAGAAGGGAGAGUUCCUGCUCUAGUAGAGAAAAGAUUUUGCCACGUUGGCUAGGCUGCUCUGGAACUCUUGACCUCAGGUGAUCUGCCUGCCACCCAACCUACUGGGAUUACAGUAGCCAGUCCUGCCAGGGUUCUGGCUGUGCCGGGACAGUGAAUGGCCACUCCGUCCCAGAUGAGCUGCAGGAAGCGUUUCGAUGUCAUGUGGAGGUGAUGGCGAUUUUCAACUCAUUCCCGUUACAAACAGCCGACCUUCCUACCGAGUUCAAGUACCUUCUGCCUGGCCUGGAAGAACAAUAUCUCUCUGUCUCCCUCUUCCACUGGCCCUCACCUGCCUUCCCCUGAACAUGCAUUUUGCCUGACAGGAGACAGAGGCAGUUGAGAUGGAGUCUUGCUAUAUGGCCCAGCUGGUAAUGCCUAGAUUCUUGAGUCCCUCCCUGGCUCAUCCCUGGGAGCAGCACUGAACCCCUUGUCUGACACCUGUCUGGAAAUGGAGCCUGCACAUUGACCCUAGGCAUGAAGUGAACACUGCGGCUCCCACUUAGCACUUGGGCACGUGCAUCCUUGAAGCACACUGGGGUUAACACCCUGGGCGGGGAA
rnacentral:lncRNA from 1 species